rnacentral:rRNA from 1 species
GACGAACGCUGGCGGCGUGCUUAACACAUGCAAGUCGAACGGAAAGGCCCUGCUUUUGUGGGGUGCUCGAGUGGCGAACGGGUGAGUAACACGUGAGUAACCUGCCCUUGACUUUGGGAUAACUUCAGGAAACUGGGGCUAAUACCGGAUAGGAGCUCCUGCUGCAUGGUGGGGGUUGGAAAGUUUCGGCGGUUGGGGAUGGACUCGCGGCUUAUCAGCUUGUUGGUGGGGUAGUGGCUUACCAAGGCUUUGACGGGUAGCCGGCCUGAGAGGGUGACCGGCCACAUUGGGACUGAGAUUCGGCCCAGACUCCUACGGGAGGCAGUAGUGGGGAAUAAUGCGCAAUGGGCGGAAACCUAAUGCAGCAACGCCGCGUGCGGGAUGACGGCCUUCGGGUUGUAAACCGCUUUCGCCUGUGACGAAGCGUAAGUGACGGUAAUGGGUAAAGAAGCGCCGGCUAACUACGUG